ACCGCAGAGACACAUCUGCUGUGUGCGGGCUAGAGAGAUAACAAAGAAAGGCUGGCACUCAAAUUUACACUGCAUUUGUUGAGCCAAUUUGCCAACAUGUAGCACUUUUUCAGUCUUUACAAGGCUUUACAAAUAUCACCCAGUUGGGUCUCACUGGGAACAAGAUUCAUGUCGACUGCUUUAAAAUCCUUUUUCUGUGGUGUUAGGCUUUGUGCCUAUUAAGAUUAAACAAUACUUUGAUCACCAUAUCCGGGAGACUGUGGCCAGUAGAGAAGGAUGAUCUCAACCACAGAUUUACAUAUGCGUCCUGAGAUGAUUCAGCAGUCCAAUCCUGGAACCACAGAUCCACCCACAGUAUGUACAGACAUUUCCUGGAGGGUGAGCUGUCUGCUGGGAGUUAGGAUCUCCAGCAAUCCACGGGUGAAAAUGGUGACAAAAAGAGAAGCAGGGCCCAAUGAGGAGUUCUCACUACCUCAAAAAAGAGAUCAGACAUAGCCCAUGUUAAGCAGGCAUUCAUCCCAUACCACGUCCACCUUCUGCUUCUUUAGCAACAGUAGUUGACCCAGAAACAUCACGAGGUUUAGCUGAUAGACAUGAUCAAUCCCAGAUCAGGGCAGGAAAACUUGUGCUGGACUUGUGAUAACUAAAGGAUUACAUUCUGAAUGGUUCCACGAAGAUGAUCUUACAGUUAAAGCAAAUUCAGGGUUUUACUACCAGGGGCCUUGAUUCAGGAUAACUGGGUCCUAUUUCUGCCUCUUGUAGACCUCCUCUGAGACCUUGGGCAAGUCACAAUCUUUCUCUACCAUAGUUUCGUCUUAGGUAAAAUGGGAAGACUAUCAGUGAUCUCCAAGUAUUAUCAUUAUUAAUUAUUAUUAUAGCUUUCUUCCUGAACACAGAAAAUCAUAUGAAAAACAGUUCUAAAACUAUUCUCAGCGGUAGCUCAAUGGCAGCAGCUCAAAGAUGAAGUACUGUAAUUCAGCCAGGCCAAAUAUGUAAUUAGACACAUCAGAUGGCACUAAAUUUCUAUCAGUCAGUUUCUGCGUCUUGCUACUUUCAGUGGAAGAUACCAAAUGCUGUUUAUAUCUAGCGCCCACUUCCUAAAACUCUUCCAGUUUGCACUUCCUUCCAAUUUUUAAGAACCAAAACAUUCUGGAAUAAUAAUACCUAUAAAAGUCAUCUUGAUUUUUUUUUUAAAGCGGCAAUCAAAAGCAGAAGAUACCUGUAAAAUACAUGAGGCAGGUAGUGAUAUUUCCAGAGCAAGUCACAGGUGUACUGAUUUCACCCCCAACUGAAGGACCUAAUUAUUUUUUAAGGCUUGUUGCAUCUGCAGCCAUACUGAAUUUUCAUUUUUCAAAAGAGAAAUGUACUUUCUGUGAGUCUGAACAUUUUGAUGUGAUUUCUAUUUAAAAUAAAUUGUGGGAAAUGUCAA